CCAGCGCCUGACGUCAGCACGCCUGCGUCGCGUCGCGGCGCUGACUGGGGGCCCGGCUUUCGCCCGCUGCUGCCGCCGCCGCCGCCGGCCGCGGCUGCUCUCCCAAGAUGGCGGCUCCUCCGGGCGAGUACUUCAGCGUCGGGAGCCAGGUGUCGUGCCGGACGUGCCAGGAGCAGCGGCUGCAGGGCGAGGUGGUAGCCUUCGACUACCAGUCCAAGAUGCUGGCUUUAAAAUGUCCCUCAUCCAGUGGAAAGCCCAACCACGCAGACAUCCUGCUCAUAAACUUACAGUACGUUUCAGAAGUGGAAAUAAUUAACGACCGAACAGAAACUCCUCCUCCCCUAGCUUCACUCAAUGUUAGUAAGCUUGCCAGCAAAGCGCGGACGGAGAAGGAGGAGAAGCUGAGCCAGGCCUAUGCAAUCAGCGCUGGCGUCUCCCUGGAGGGCCAGCAGCUCUUCCAGACCAUCCACAAGACCAUUAAAGACUGUAAAUGGCAAGAAAAAAACAUCGUAGUCAUGGAAGAAGUUGUUAUUACGCCCCCCUAUCAAGUGGAAAACUGUAAAGGCAAAGAGGGGAGUGCACUGAGCCAUGUACGCAAAAUAGUGGAAAAGCAUUUUAGAGACGCGGAAAGCCAAAAGGUCCUGCAGCGCUCACAAGCCCAGCAACCACAGAAGGAGGCUGCCCUGUCGUCCUGAGGCCACGCGGCGGGGACCUCAGCACCCAGCGUGCGGCGGCGGCUCGCGGAGGUCUCUUUUUACUAGAUCAUGGCCACUCUUCCCCCGAAAAUACAGUGCGUUGCCCUUCCCGCCGCCCCCGCCAGCUACCGCCUCGGCUUGGGCCACCGAGGUGGGACUUGGCUCCGAGGGUCCUGGGGCCGCCGGUGGGGUGCGGGCUCUGCCUGGCCCCUUGCCACCCUCGCACCUCUCCAUGGUACUAGAAGAGCUGCGCCUGCACAGGGCCAUGCUUUCAUGGCUCGUCCUCCCGGGACACUGGGCUGCCCGCCCCACGAGAUGGCACCAGCCGAGCUCCAAGCCCUGCCCUCCCGCUCGCCCAUGCCCCAGCCUGAAAGCGACAGCUUACAAGCUGACGACAGCUUGUAUGUGCUCCCGGCGGGCAGCAGCCCAGGAGGCGACUGGACUCGAGCGCCCGCCGUCUGGUGUGACUGACCUGCUGAGAUCGCCCGCUCACUGCCUGCGUGGGAGUGGGUCGCGUGUGGGACUGGUUGGUGCCUUGGGGGUGGGGUGGAUUAACUACUUUUUGGCCAUGAUCUCUUUCCCCUUCCUUUUUUUUUUUUUAAUUAAAUAAAUGGAUCAAAAUUAAAUAAUUCAAGCCCUGCCUUCAAAAUGAAAAAAAUUUUUUUUUUAGUAUUGUUUAGCAGAAACAAUAAAACCCAGAUUUUUUUAACCAUUA